rnacentral:rRNA from 1 species
GACGAACGCUGGCGGCGUGCUUAACACAUGCGAGUCGAACGGAAAGGCCCUGCUUUUGUGGGGUGCUCGAGUGGCGAACGGGUGAGUAACACGUGAGUAACCUGCCCUUGACUUUGGGAUAACUUCAGGAAACUGGGGCUAAUACCGGAUAGGAGCUCCUGCUGCAUGGUGGGGGUUGGAAAGUUUCGGCGGUUGGGGAUGGACUCGCGGCUUAUCAGCUUGUUGGUGGGGUUGUGGCUUACCAAGGCUUUGACGGGUAGCCGGCCUGGGAGGGUGACCGGCCACAUUGGGACUGAGGUGCGGCCCAGACUCCUACGGGAGGCAGCAGUGGGGAAUAUUGCACAAUGGGCGGAAGCCUGAUGCAGCAACGCCGCGUGCGGGAUGACGGCCUUCGGGUUGUAAACCGCUUUCGCCUGUGACGAAGCGUGAGUGACGGUAAUGGGUAAAGAAGCACCGGCUAACUACGUG